rnacentral:rRNA from 1 species
AGUGAACGCUGGCGGUAGGCCUAACACAUGCAAGUCGAACGGCAGCACAGUAAGAGCUUGCUCUUACGGGUGGCGAGUGGCGGACGGGCGAGGAAUACAUCGGAAUCUACUUUUUCGUGGGGGAUAACGUAGGGAAACUUACGCUAAUACCGCAUACGACCUACGGGUGAAAGCAGGGGAUCUUCGGACCUUGCGCGAUUGAAUGAGCCGAUGUCGGAUUAGCUAGUUGGCGGGGUAAAGGCCCACCAAGGCGACGAUCCGUAGCUGGGCUGAGAGGAUGAUCAGCCACACUGGAACUGAGACACGGUCCAGACUCCUACGGGAGGCAGCAGUGGGGAAUAUUGGACAAUGGGCGCAAGCCUGAUCCAGCCAUACCGCGUGGGUGAAGAAGGCCUUCGGGUUGUAAAGCCCUUUUGUUGGGAAAGAAAAGCAGCAGGUUAAUACCCCGCUGUUCUGACGUUACCCAAAGAAUAAGCACCGGCUAACUUCGUG